rnacentral:tRNA from 1 species
GCCGAAGUGGUGAAACUGGUAGACGCGCUGGACUCAAAAUCCUGUGGGGGCAACCCCGUGUCGGUUCGACUCCGACCUUCGGCACCA